GUCCCAUGCAAAAUGCAGAACUUAAAUAAGGUUUACACAGAAUUAUAGCAAAAUUGCUCAAAAACCCACAUUUAGGAUCGAUUCAUAACGCACAAUUACUAUCAUAAAGGUUUCGAAUUGCUCUCUGUUACCUAUAAUUGUUAACAAUUCUUAAGCACCUAAUCACUACCACUCAUAUAAUUUUUAAGCAACGAAAAGCACAACAAGAGAGCUCUCAUACAAAUACCAAACAAGGAAUUGGGUCAAUAAUAGACAUAUAAAUUGUUAACAAGAAGGAAUAACAAAAAGAACAAAGUAAGGUUUUUGAGAGAAAACUACAAGAACGUAAGGAAACAGGAAUCGAGAUAUGAUUCUCGAAGGAAAUGACCGACGUAGAUGGGGCAUGGAUUGGAGUCCCGUGAAGACGAAGAGUGAUUCUCGUUGCUUUUAGCUUCAUCUUGGUCCAUUGUUUUCCUUGAAUUCGCUGGAUUUCUAGUUCCCACUUCAAUGGCGCCUUCAACCUAGACCCGGCCACACGUGCAGAGGACCUGAUCCGGUUAUGGUUCUCCCCAGUGAAUUUGCAUUGGAACCAGCCAGCUCGAAUCAGUGACUUCAAUCCGAU
rnacentral:misc_RNA from 1 species